rnacentral:rRNA from 1 species
UAAUACGGAGGGUGCAAGCGUUAAUCGGAAUUACUGGGCGUAAAGCGCACGCAGGCGGUUUGUUAAGUCAGAUGUGAAAUCCCCGAGCUUAACUUGGGAACUGCAUUUGAAACUGGCAAGCUAGAGUCUUGUAGAGGGGGGUAGAAUUCCAGGUGUAGCGGUGAAAUGCGUAGAGAUCUGGAGGAAUACCGGUGGCGAAGGCGGCCCCCUGGACAAAGACUGACGCUCAGGUGCGAAAGCGUGGGGAGCAAACAGGAUUAGAUACACUGGUAGUCCACGCUGUAAACGAUGUCGACUUGGAGGUUGUGCCCUUGAGGCGUGGCUUCCGGAGCUAACGCGUUAAGUCGACCGCCUGGGGAGUACGGCCGCAAGGUUAAA